rnacentral:rRNA from 1 species
UACAGAGGUCUCAAGCGUUGUUCGGAUUCAUUGGGCGUAAAGGGCGCGUAGGCGGCGGGGUAAGUCGGGUGUGAAAUCUCAGAGCUCAACUCUGAAACUGCACUCGAUACUGCUCUGCUUGAGGACUGGAGAGGAGACUGGAAUUCACGGUGUAGCAGUGAAAUGCGUAGAUAUCGGGAGGAACACCAGUGGCGAAGGCGGCGAUCUGGGAAGAUACUGACGCUGAGGUGCGAAAGCGUGGGGAGCAAACAGG